ACACAAUGAUGAGUCUAUCCCGAACCUGACUUGUGAUGACACAACUUUUUAACGGAUCUGACUUCUGAGUG